rnacentral:misc_RNA from 1 species
GAUGAAGAACGUAGCGAAAUGCUAUACUUGGUGUGAAUUGCAGAAUCCCGUGAACCAUCGAGUCUUUGAACGCAAGUUGCGCCCGACGCCUUCUGGCCGAGGGCACGUCUGCCUGGGUGUCACGCAUCGUCGCCCUCCCCCGCCUUCGCCUCAUCUUUUGGGGCGAGGAGUUGGGGGGGCGGAUGUUGGUCUCCCGUGUGCCUUGGCAUGCGGCUGGCUGAAAAUCACAGGACCACGGUGCACAACGCCGCGUCGCAUGGUGGAUGAGGUAAUCUCUAAGACCGGACGCGUGCGUCGCCGUUGCCUGACAGGACCCACUGCGCUGCGAUGCAGUGCCCUCCGACGCGACCCCAGGUCAGGCGGGACCACCCGCUGAGUUUAAGCAUAUCAAUAAGCGGAGGA